rnacentral:rRNA from 1 species
CGGCAUGCCUAAGACAUGCAAGUCGAACGAGGUGAUCAGGGAAAGUGGAGUGCUUGCACAAAACUGGAACUGAUUAUCACCUAGUGGCAGACGGGUGAGUAACACGUGGGUAACCUACCUCUAAGUUGGGGAUAACAAUUGGAAACGAUUGCUAAUACCGUAUAAUAUGCAUUAAUAAUUUUAAUGUAUUGAAAGAAGCCUUUAAAGCUUCGCUUAAAGAUGGGCCUGCGGCGUAUUAGCUAGUUGGUAAGGUAAUGGCUUACCAAGGCAACGAUGCGUAGCCGGACUGAGAGGUCGAACGGCCACAUUGGGACUGAGACACGGCCCAAACUCCUACGGGAGACAGCAGUUAGGAAUAUUCGUCAAUGGGGGAAACCCUGAACGAGCAAUGCCGCGUGAAGUGAAGAAGGUCUUUGGAUUGUAAAACUCUGUUGUAUGGAAAAAACGAUUAAAUUAGGAAAUGAAUUUAAUGUGAUGGUACCAUACCAGAAAGCCCCGGCUAACUACGUGCCAGCAGCCGC